rnacentral:rRNA from 1 species
CUGGGUUUGACAUGCACAGGACGACGGCAGAGAUGUCGUUUCCCUUGUGGCCUGUGUGCAGGUGGUGCAUGGCUGUCGUCAGCUCGUGUCGUGAGAUGUUGGGUUAAGUCCCGCAACGAGCGCAACCCUUAUUUCAUGUUGCCAGCGCGUUAUGGCGGGGACUCGUGAGAGACUGCCGGGGUCAACUCGGAGGAAGGUGGGGAUGACGUCAAGUCAUCAUGCCCCUUAUGUCCAGGGCUUCACACAUGCUACAAUGGCCGGUACAAAGGGCUGCGAUGCCGCGAGGCUUAGCGAAUCCUUUAAAGCCGGUCUCAGUUCGGAUCGGGGUCUGCAACUCGACCCCGUGAAGUCGGAGUCGCUAGUAAUCGCAGAUCAGCAACGCUGCGGUGAAUACGUUCCC